CCGGCGCGGACCGGAGCCCGGGGAACGACAUUCCCGACCGGCCGUUCCCCUCCGCUCUCACAGUCGGGCUCCACGCUUCGGGCAGAUGUAGAAACUGAGGCACUGAGACUGCCAGCAGCAUGCAGUGGUGGGAAUGUUCCCAAGGCAGAAGUGAAUCAAGAUUCUUUGAUGAUGAGAGCUCCAUUGAAAGAAAAAAGAGGCACUUAAGUGAGGAGACUGACAUUAAACACCUACUCUGCCAGGAACAUCAGAACAGGAAGGUACCUUCUUAACAACAGUAAUUAAGGACUUAGCGAGCUCUCUGUUUCACCAACAAACUCUUUAAGUCAACAAUCUCCUACUCAUCCAUUGGCAUAUGUUUUCCUGAGUGAUAAUUGCCACUCUUCCCACAGGUGAACAGGGUAAGAAGUGGAAAACACCCCUGGCCGAGGCAGCGCCUGCAGCUUGCUUUGUUUUGUUUUGAAAUUGAGAGAGAUCUUCCUUGUACCUCCUAAGCUGCCUGUCAUAUGUGAAAAGCCGGAACGGGACUGUUAAGAUUCUAUAAAUGAAUUCGUUUUGGAACACAGGGUUCUUUGCUGAGGGGGAAGGAACUGUAGCAAUCGCUGGGUCCAGCGUGUCACUUACAGAUGUGCAGAAUGAGGCCCGUGACCUGGACCGGGCAGCCACAGGCCAGCCUAACCUCGGCCCCAGGGCUCUCUCACACUCUCCCAAGCACUCCAGGCUCAGCUGAACAGCUCACAUUUGUUUUCAGCAGAGUGAAACUCGACUUGAUGCAUCAAGACACAAUCGAUAGCUUCAGAGCCGGGCCCAGGUGAGCCCUCCCCAGACUUCCCUGGCCUCUCUGCUGAGCCCCAGCCAGUCCCAAGCACCAGCCCCAGGCCAGUAGGGUGCCUUCCCUCCAGUCUUUAUCCCUGGAGCUCCUUCAGAAGAUGGGUGCUGUCAUCCCUCCUUUUCAACGUGGACAUCAAGGCUGGGGGAGGUUAGUGUGUCUUGGGUCCAUAGCUGGGAAGUGAGACCGACCACAGCCUAGGACUGACUGGCUGGGUGCUUCAGUGUCAUCGACUUCCUGGGUUGUGGGAAAAAGUAAGAAAAAGCAAGACCAAAGUCUAGCCUGGUGUCUCAUAGUGGGUGCUUUCAGAAAGCUCGGUCCCAUCCCUGUGAUAUCUUCUCUGAGUCCGCCUUCAUCAUCAUUUAAACCCGAUGGAAACAGGGUCUAUAACAUCCAGAUUUAUUACCUUUUGGUUCACUUAAGUAACCUUUCCUUCAGAGGGACUUGGUAACCCAGCGAAUGAAUUUCAAACUUUCUGGCAUUUGAGGGGGUGGAAGAUGGUACUUUGCAACUGAGAGUCCAAGAUGCUGUUAAACACUUAAAAUGUACAAGGAGGAAUUGUUCAUCCUAUCCCAUCUCCUAGCCAGGAAAGAAUAUAUGUAUCUUCUCUCUCCAUCUCAAGCAGCCUUGCUUGAGCAAAGUUCUUCAUAUAAUUGCUUGCCCCUCCCAACCAGUCU